UACGUAGGGGGCGAGCGUUGUCCGGAUUCAUUGGGCGUAAAGCGCGCGCAGGCGGCUUGGCGAGCCCGGCGUGAAAGCUCCCAGCUUAACUGGGAGAGGUCGUCGGGGACCUCCGGGCUGGAGGCCGGUAGGGGUGAGCGGAAUUCCCGGUGUAGUGGUGGAAUGCGUAGAGAUCGGGAAGAACGCCAAGGGCGAAGGCGCUCUGCUAGGCCUGAGUUCGCGACUGACACUCAGGGACGAGAGCCAGGGGAGCGAAUGGG
rnacentral:rRNA from 1 species